AUUGAACGCUGGCGGCAUGCUUUACACAUGCAAGUCGAACGGUAACAGGUUAAGCUGACGAGUGGCGAACGGGUGAGUAAUGCAUCGGAACGUGCCCGGUCGUGGGGGAUAACGCAGCGAAAGUCGCGCUAAUACCGCAUACGAUCUGAGGAUGAAAGCGGGGGACCGUAAGGCCUCGCGCGAUCGGAGCGGCCGAUGUCAGAUUAGGUAGUUGGGGGGGUAAAGGCUCACCAAGCCAACGAUCUGUAGCUGGUCUGAGAGGACGACCAGCCACACUGGGACUGAGACACGGCCCAGACUCCUACGGGAGGCAGCAGUGGGGAAUUUUGGACAAUGGGCGAAAGCCUGAUCCAGCAAUGCCGCGUGCAGGAAGAAGGCCUUCGGGCUGUAAACUGCUUUUGUACGGAGCGAAAAGGUCUCCUCUAAUACAGGGGGCUCAUGACGGUACCGUAAGAAUAAGCACCGGCUAACUACGUGCCAGCAGCCGCCGUAA
rnacentral:rRNA from 1 species